rnacentral:rRNA from 1 species
UGACCCCAGAUCAGACGGGGCCACCCGCUGAGUUUAAGCAUAUCAAUAAGCGGAGGAGAAGAAACUUACGAAGAUUCCCUUAGUAACGGCGAGCGAAACGGGAAAAGCCCAGCUUGAGAAUUAGGCGGCAGCGCCUCCUAA